AAGGCCUACGGGGGGCAGCAGUAGGGAAUCUUCCACAAUGGACGAAAGUCUGAUGGAGCAACGCCGCGUGAGUGAAGAAGGGUGUCGGCUCGUAAAACUCUGUUGGUAGGGAAGAAAGAUAGAGGUAGUAACUGGCCUUUAUUUUACGGGAAUUACUUAGAAAGUCACGGCUAACUACGUGCCAGCAGCCGCGGUAAUACGUAAGUGGCAAGCGCUGUCCGGAUUUAUUGGGCGUAAAGCGAG
rnacentral:rRNA from 1 species